GUUUAUUGCUCUCGCAUUGGCUCCCCAGUCUCACAUUUGCAGGAAGGGAAGGCUAGGAAUGCUUCUGGCUGGGGAAGUGUGGUUUGCAAAACAACAGAACCUGUGACAACAACAGGCUGGAGCUGGAGGCAGAUAAGCUGGAGCCACCAUGCAGAUAUGGAAGCAUCGUGACUGUGCGUCUCUGGCCUGUUGUUAUCUCAGCCCAUUCCAACCCUCUGCAACUUGAUGGUGUUUUGGAUGACAUCUCUGGCUGUGAUGGGAGCUGUAGUCCAAAAUAACUGGAGGGCACCAGGUUGAUGAAAUCAGCAAUAGCAAG